GCGCCCUUGGUGUAGCGGUAACACACAAUCUACUUCUAUCACAGUAUGUGUUCCCUUAGAUUGGGUCCGGGGUUCGACUCCCCGAGCGCGCA